GACGAACGCUGGCGGCAGGCUUAACACAUGCAAGUCGAGCGGGGGAAGGUAGCUUGCUACCGGACCUAGCGGCGGACGGGUGAGUAAUGCUUAGGAAUCUGCCUAUUAGUGGGGGACAACAUCUCGAAAGGGAUGCUAAUACCGCAUACGUCCUACGGGAGAAAGCAGGGGAUCUUCGGACCUUGCGCUAAUAGAUGAGCCUAAGUCGGAUUAGCUAGUUGGUGGGGUAAAGGCCUACCAAGGCGACGAUCUGUAGCGGGUCUGAGAGGAUGAUCCGCCACACUGGGACUGAGACACGGCCCAGACUCCUACGGGAGGCAGCAGUGGGGAAUAUUGGACAAUGGGGGGAACCCUGAUCCAGCCAUGCCGCGUGUGUGAAGAAGGCCUUAUGGUUGUAAAGCACUUUAAGCGAGGAGGAGGCUACUUUAGUUAAUACCUAGAGAUAGUGGACGUUACUCGCAGAAUAAGCACCGGCUAACUCUGUGCCAGCAGCCGCAGUAA
rnacentral:rRNA from 1 species